AAUCUAACCGGCAACAACCUCACCCAUAAAAAUGAAAAAGGAGCAGUUCCAGAUGGACGCCAUCGAAGUUCACUGCUUAGUUAAAUCACCUCUUGGGACGGUUCCUUUCUUCCCCUGUAUGUAUUUGAUAUAGAGACAGAGGUUGAUCCUUCUACGGAAGAAAGGUAGUUCACAUUGUUCACCAGUGUGAGUUCACUUGAUAUUUUCUAGGAGUUCAUUUUCUGACUGACGCUUUAGUUCAAAAGCGAAACAGAGAAGCUACAUUGCUUUGAAGUUCACCUUUGUCUCUCUGAAAAGUUCGGGUUUAAAUUACUAGGAUGUUCCCCUUUUUUGACUAAAUAAAUUAUCUUUUGGUUGAAAGAAUUUGAUUGAACCUGCACAAAUAAAUUUAGUUUACCAUAAAAAGGAAGUCCACUUAUUAAACAACAGUAGCUUGUUAGCUUAAAAAAAUAGAAGCUCAACAGAGUAUAGCUUAUUAGCUUCAAAAUUCCCGAGGUUCAGUUUUGUAUUCUUACGAAGUUCUGUUUAGUAUUUCUUCUGAAAUUCAGUUCAAAGUCAUGUAAAAUCAAAAUUAGAAACUUCACAUUCUCUAUUACAUACAUUACACUUCUUCUGUAUUGGUCAACAGGAUGCAAAGCUGUACAUUCGGGCAGUGAACUUGUAUUUUUCGGCCAUUACAUUUGUGUUUUUUGGAGAGUACUUAAACUGUGAUUCCAGGGAAGUUCUAUUUGUACAUAUGUGAGGUCCAUUUUUUGUGGCAAAAAUAGUCCUGGAAGUUCACCUCAACUUCUUUCGGAACCUCACUUGGUUCUUGCACGAAAUUCAUUUUUGUAAGAUAAAAAAUGCGGAUGUGGUUAUGAAGUUCAAUUUUAUUUGCUAGGAAGUUCAACCGAUUAAACAAACAGGACUUUACUCAUUUUCUAAAAACAAUCCAGUAUAUUACAUUGGAUUUAUUUGUAAACUGCAUUGAUAUAAAGUUCUGAACUAAUCUUUCUUUUUUCUAUCUAUGCAAAAGAGUUCCUGCUAGUCAUGCCUAGACUCUUGGCGGUGCCACUCUGAACUCGAGCUCUCCGCAUAGCCACCGCCGUCCAUGGGACAGACGCUUUCGCAGGAGUUCACAUGCACCGCCACGAAAGUUCAUACUGCUCUAUGCAGGGAGCAUGUGCAGCUCCAUCUUCAGGUUCUACGAGCAGCCGCUUGCCCUUGCAGAUGCAGCAAAGCACACAAUAGAUUGGAGGAACACCAGUGUCCUUGCCUUGCCAGUGUUGAAUUACCUGCACUUAAGAAAAAGAGCACCACCAGUUCAGAAAGUUAUUAUUUUUCUCAUAAAGUUUGUCUUUUAGCAUUGUAUUUUAGCAAAGUUUGGAUGGUUGCAGUGCAUGCAAAAAUAUAUAGAAGUUCACCUCGCUAGUUCAUUAAGCUUACUUACAUUUGUUUGGAAGUUCGUUCAUCUACUGAUUUCAGUUGAAGCACGUACACAGAGAAGUGUAAAGUUCCAUUACAUUUAAAAUGCAAGUCCGCUUGUCCAA